UCUGACCACCCGAGACGGUCUAGAUUUCUGACGGACGGUCUAAACUUACAGCUGGCCAGCCUGAUGGUCUCGAAAAAAAUUCAGAUAAUAUGUUCCAUACA